rnacentral:rRNA from 1 species
CGGCGGACGGGUGAGUAACGCGUGGGUAACCUGCCUCAUACAGGGGGAUAACAGUUGGAAACGGCUGCUAAUACCGCAUAAGCGCACAGUACCGCAUGGUACGGUGUGAAAAACUCCGGUGGUGUGAGAUGAUCCGCGUCUGAUUAGUUAGUUGGCGGGGUAACGGCCCACCAGGACAGCGAUCAGUAGCCGACCUGAGAGGGUGACCGGCCACAUUGGGACUGAGACACGGCCCAA